rnacentral:misc_RNA from 1 species
CAAAAACUGCGUGUAACAGACUCCUCAUCGUGUCGACGUUUUUCCGUGUCCCGAAAAAUAAUUAUUUCUCUCAACCCUUCUGAUUGGAAAGAAAAGAAAUUGCGACCCGGAGUUACCGGCACAACUAGAGCCCAGAUAAUUCCUAAUAUAAAAAGGGCGCGGAAUAAUCGAAUUCCGGUCGAAAUGACAUCCCAGACUAUUCAGACACUGUCUAUCCUAUUGGCAUGCGCCACCUCUUGCAUGGGGGGAUUAGAUGUCUUGUACGAAUGGAAAUACAUCGAUUACGAAUGGGAUAAUCCAUACGACGAGUCAUCCUCCAGGUCAGACGGACGGUACGACCGGGAGAUGAUAGUUCCCAAUGACGUUCAACAGCUCUCUGAUGGUCGUGUUCUGGUAACAACUCCGAAGUAUUACGACAACCCCGCAAGUUUGUCGAUCGUGUCAAUUAGAAGCGGGAAUGGUGGCCCCCUUUUGGCACCCUAUCCCAGUUGGGAUUGGCACAGGGAGUCGGGUGACUGUUCCGGCAUCACCAGUGUCAACAGAGUCAGAGUGGACCGAUGCAAUCGGCUUUGGGUCGUCGAUUCCGGCAAAAUAGGCGACGAACAAGUGUGCCCCGCUAAAAUUUUAACCUUCGAUCCCGCUACGGAUGAAUUGUUGGACAUUUUUGAGAUUCCAACCGAGUUGACCCACAAUCCCGACGAUCCGAGCCGGGGAAGAGUGGAGAUCCAGGUCGUCGAAACGAUCGGCGAUAAUUGCGAACAGACUUGGGCGUACAUAGGUGAUCCGGAAGGUUUUGGUCUCCUCAUCUACAAUGGGACAAGUAUUUGGCGCCUCAAUGACAAGAUCUUCGCACCGGAAGCAGAACAAACAAACUUCGUAAUAGACAAUGAAAGUGUAAGAUUGGAUAUCGGAGUAGGCAGCAUGCUUUUACCCCCGUCGGGAUUCGUCGAGGAACAACCGGUACUCUUCAAGCCUCUGGCGUCCGUCAAAGGAUACGCGGCGACCCGCGAACAGAUGCACGACUCCUAUUCGGGAAUAGAAAUCCAGUACUACAUGUGCAACUACACUAUACCGAGCCAAGAACUUGCCAGGGAUUACUCGUCGGACGGUGUCUUGAUUGCCGGUUUUCCCUCGCAAACAGCCAUCGCUUGCUGGAACCUUCAGUAUCCUCUGGUCGAUCCUUACGUGGAAAUUUUGGACCAAGAUUCAGAGAAGCUGCAAUUCGUCAGCGGUCUGAAAAUUACUAAAGGAAUCCAAAAUGGCGUCGAGGGCGAAAAUGUCUGGGUGAUGACCAAUCGUUACCAGAAGUUUCGUUUGGGAUCUCUGGAUUUCUCCGACGUGAAUUUCAGGAUUUUAGGAUCGAACGUCGCAGAUCUCGUCAAGGGCACUUAUUGCGAGACGAAGUCGCACGAGCUCGUCCCUACGAUGGAAGAAAAAUUCUUCUUUAAAAUAGAAAACUAGCUGCCCUUACGCCAGACCACGAGGACUCGAUUGAAAAUCGGCAAUUUUCGAAUCUUAACUUUCUUUCGAAUAGUUGCAAAAUCUAAAUAAAUUACAAUUCGACAUGCCGGAGAAUUUUCGAGAUGCCGGUAUGUGUAUGAGAACGAGUAACGUGGCAACGGAUCCAAUGAGAAUAGCCGACUUAAAAAAAGCUCUUGCACAGUUCCUGACUCGUAUACGAGACGAUCAUCGGCCCCUCAUUUCACAAGGCUUUCGAAAAGGAAACGGUCGAAAUAUCGAGCCGUGAAU